CGGAUGGCGUAUGGGCAAUGCCAUAUUUCCUUCGGGACAUCCGAGACAGGUGGUGCAUGGUUGUCGUCAGCUCGUGUCGUGAGAUGUUGGGUUAAGUCCCGCAACGAGCGCAACCCCUGCCUUCUGUAGCCAGCAUUCAGGAUGGGAACUCAGGAGGGACUGCCCGGGAGAACCGGGAGGAAGGCGGGGAUGACGUCAAAUCAUCAUGCCCCUUAUGGCCUGGGCUACACACGUGCUACAAUGGCGUAAACAAAGGGAAGUGAGCCUGCGAGGGUAAGCGAAUCCCAAAAAUAACGUCCCAGUUCGGAUUGCAGUCUGCAACUCGAGUGCAUGAAGCUGGAAUCGCUAGUAAUCGCGGAUCAGAAUGCCGCGGUGAAUACGUUCCCGGGUCUUGUACACACCGCCCGUCACACCAUGGGAGUCGGGAAUGCCCGAAGCCGGUGGCCCGAUCGAAAGAAGGGAGCCGUCGAAGGCAGGCCGGAUGACUGGGGUGAAGUCGUAACAAGGUAGCCGUAUCGGAAGGUGC
rnacentral:rRNA from 1 species